rnacentral:rRNA from 1 species
GUCUCGUCUUUCGAGGAUCACUGGAGGGCAGUCUGGUGCCAGCAGCCGCGGUAACUCCAGCUCCAGAAGCGUAUAUUAAAGUUGUUGCAGUUAAAAAGCUCGUAGUUGGAUCUGGGUCGCAUGGCUACAUGCCGUUGCUCGUAUUCCUGGCCUGGUUCACACCGGGACGGGUUUGUGAGUCGGUGUCGUGGUUGUGCAGCCUUUCUGCCGUGUCUGUUUCGACAGGUGUUAGCAUGAUUGGUGGGUUCGUCCUGCUGAUCUGUUGACAUGCUUCCAGGUGCCCUUAACCGGGUGUCGGGGGCGGACGGCACGUUUACUUUGAACAAAUUUGAGUGCUCAAAGCAGGCCCGUGUGCCUGAAAAUUCUUGCAUGGAAUAAUGGAAUAGGACUUCGGUUCUAUUUUGUUGGUUUUCGGAUCCGAAGUAAUGGUUAAAAGGGACAGACGGGGGCAUUUGUAUGGCGGUGUUAGAGGUGAAAUUCUUGGAUCACCGCCAGACAAACUAC